ensembl:lncRNA
GGAUGAGCACGGAGUAGGAGCAGUUCUGGACCAGAACGAUAAUCUUUCGAUCUGUUCCUUCAAUGAGUCAGACUUUCUUAUUGAUGAUGACUACAAUAUCUCUGAGUACGAUUCAGAUACUCCAGGAGAGUCAGACAUGAACUCAACUUCUCUGAAACUGCCUCAACUGAUUUGUGUGGCAGCAGCAAAACAGCCCAACAGCACUUUGCCUGCCUCAGUGAGCACCCUGAAAGAGGUGUCCCUCCAGACGGAUGUGGUCCCCGCUGGCAAGCCCCUGGAGGAACACCUGAACAAGGAGCAACAGUCGAAUAACACCCAGGAGGACAUCCUGUUGAGGGUAAAUGAAAACCCGGUCUCCAUCGAGCACUUCCCGGAUGAAGGCCUGAAGAAGUUCAGCGGUGGGGAGGACAUCUCCCGGCCUCAGGGGAAAAGGCAGAAGAAGCAUGGGGGGUGCUUCAGAUGGAUUGGGGAGUGGCUGUCUAAGAGGAAGGGCGAAGAGAUGAGAGACAGAGGGAGGACGGACCAGAAGCCUGGCCCUCUGAUCGUCGUAAAGCCCAGAGACUUCAGCAUCAGGACUGAUGUGGAGGUAGGAGACCUCGGGGACCGUCUGCCUGAG